rnacentral:sRNA from 1 species
CUGGCUGUUGCCAGGUAGCUGUGGAGGUGGAGCUUAGAAAGAAUACCAACACUCUGGACUGUGACCUCUGUUCAGCAAUCUGGGAGUUUUGGGAAAGAGAUGCUCCUCUUGGGGAAAACUGACUGAAAGUCACCAUUUCUCGCCAUUCUCUGGGGACCAACAACCAUCUCGAAAAAUUCCCAGGCAGAUGUCCACAUGCAUGUCCCCAUGAAGAAGCACCAGCUCUGACAGUGGGAAACAGAGAGGUGAGAUACCGGGAACAAGAAAGCAGCAGAGAGCUGACAGAGGAAAGAGGAGAACCAACUGGAACCAGAAGAGGCUUCAGACGGUGGGGGAGGGGCAACGAUCCUAUCACAGUCCAAUGUAUGCUUACCUAAAAGUUCAUUUCUAAAAAUGACUAUUUCUGUUUGUCACUAAUGUGUUUGAAAAAUUAGAAAGUCCCUGCACUGAAAGACUUUCGGUGACAAUCCCCAUGCCAGCCCUCCAGAGCAACUGAAAGACAAGGUACUUGUAAUAUCUGAUUUGUACCCCGUUCCUAAGCAGGGCCAACUUCAAUGGCAGGGCUAAAGCCAGCAAGUGACACAAAACCCCUACCUCUGCUGCCUGGUAACCAGCCAGUUUUGCCAGCCAGUUUUGCCUCCUGCCAAUCUCACUAAGUUAUCAGAAGAUUUACAGAGUGGUACUGUUGAAUUUCAAAAGCAAGUAGGGUAUUAGAUAGACAGUGUGCUGUGUAUAACCUGUCAUGGAGGUUUACCCAUAUUUUACAGGCCUUCCUACUGUCCUUUAGACUAGAAUAAGAUAAGUCCUUAUCUAGACAACAUGAAGCACCAGAGACGGCAAUAAUUCCAACCCUCAUUAAAAAUAAAGUAACAAAAAAAGCACCAUGAAGACUACCUGUUCCCUGUCACUACUUAACUCAAGGGCAGACCCAGCAAGCUUGCAAGGCUGACUCAAAAGGGCACUGCCUGGGAGAUCUUUCAGGCAGAACUAAGAGAGAAAGGCAUCUCCUCUUCAUCUCUUAACAGAGCUUACCAAGACCUUUACUGUUAGAAGUGGACUGUUUCCUGACCACAGAGGAGUUUAGAAGGGAGCACACGCAGAAUAGCACAUGGCUCUUUCCAGUCACUGGACACACAGGAAUCCUGUCAACAGCACACCCGACUUUACUGCCACCCAUCUUAAUAAAUCCCCUCUAGUGCAGCUAAAAUAAAUACCCUUAGAGUCUCAAUAGAAUCAUCAAAAGGCAUUAAAAACUCAAUUAUGUAGCAUAAUAAUGUUGUAGUAGGCACAGUAAAAAGAAAACAACAUAAGCUCAAUACCAGAGGGUCAAAUAAUUACAAAACUUAUUUAAGGGUAAAAUUACAAGCACCCUCAUGUACAGAAAGUACAUGUGCCUAUAAGACAAGACUCAAUGGUCUACUAACAGCUAUCCUCUAUCUAGAAGUGACAGCAGUGGGUGAAAAAUGUCAUCAUACAAGAACAAGAGGGGAAGCAGGAAGACAGAGCAGACUCAGGCCCUAAUGAAAGCCCUCAAGCCGUUAAAUUAUAAAAUCUAAACAAAAAGAUGAGAAGGAGGCUGCCAAGAAAGAAACUGUUCAGAGCGAAGUACACAGGCCAGAGAUACUCAGGAGAUAAAAAGUGCUUCCACACAACCAUCAAGACUGGAGUAGUAUCCCAGCACGCACAUAACCCAUGAGUCAGUACACAAUUAUAACUCCAGUUUCCAGAGGACGGAGACAAGAACACGACUGGGGCUUGCCAGCCUAGCAGGUUCCAGACAUUGCCUCAAAUGAUGGGUGCAAUCUGACAAAGAAGCUCCAAUGUCCUCCUGGCACGGGCAUGCCAGGAGAGGGACAACCCAGACACACACACACACACACACACACACACACAC